CGGGCGCCAUCUCGGUCUUUCGGGGUUUGGAGCUUCAUUGUGUUAGGAUUGGUGCUGAGGAAUGGAUGCAAUGUGGAUUUUGAUGAUGGCAUUUAUGGACAGCUAAGUGCCAAAGGGAGGUGAGAACUGACUGAGGUACUAAAGAGCAAGCCAGUCUCAUGGGCACACAGGUACUGCAUAACAAGAUGAUGAAAGGGCUUUGUUAGUUUCCAGGGCAGAAAGUUCAUCUUUUGCUAUUCUGAAAACCCCUCUUUCUUUUAAAGGAGAAAACAGAUGAAUUGCAUCAGGACCUGUUAUAUUUUUCAACUACGGGGUGCAUAUUUUAGUCUGGACAGCUGUUUGGGUCCAGAUUGAGGAUACCUUUUUAAAAAAGGUAUGAAGAGGCAGCUUGACGGGGCACAGUACGAGAUUUAAAGCAAAGAGUUACGGAUUCAAGAUGGAACUUGCUGUGGUAGAAAUCACCUGUAGUUAGUCCCUAUCUAUUUGAGAUGUAGAGACAGGGCAAGAGUCCUGCUUAGACACCAAAGAUUGUUGGAGAAAUGCAGGUAGACAGCACUGCUACACUGGUAAAUGCAAGGGUUUCUAUGGCAGCAGCAAACUUGGCAGCUUAACCUUUGAAAGGCAACUAGAUGGAUGCUCUGGGACAGAAGACUAAACCAACAGUUUUAAAUAAAUUUUGAUAAACAGUUUGUUGGUGUGUGCUCAUUUUUUUGGUGAUGGGAUGAAUCCAGGGAGCAUAGAGCAUAAAGAGUCAAGGGAAGAAACCUAAUUCAUGAUUCAGGAAAAUUUUGGUAUAUUG